AGUGAACGCUGGCGGUAGGCCUAACACAUGCAAGUCGAACGGCAGCACAGUAAGAGCUUGCUCUUACGGGUGGCGAGUGGCGGACGGGUGAGGAAUACAUCGGAAUCUACUUUUUCGUGGGGGAUAACGUAGGGAAACUUACGCUAAUACCGCAUACGACCUACGGGUGAAAGCAGGGGAUCUUCGGACCUUGCGCGAUUGAAUGAGCCGAUGUCGGAUUAGCUAGUUGGCGGGGUAAAGGCCCACCAAGGCGACGAUCCGUAGCUGGUCUGAGAGGAUGAUCAGCCACACUGGAACUGAGACACGGACCAGACUCCUACGGGAGGCAGCAGUGGGGAAUAUUGGACAAUGGGCGCAAGCCUGAUCCAGCCAUACCGCGUGGGUGAAGAAGGCCUUCGGGUUGUAAAGCCCUUUUGUUGGGAAAGAAAAGCAGCAGGUUAAUACCCCGCUGUUCUGACGGUACCCAAAGAAUAAGCAUCGGCUAACUUCGUG
rnacentral:rRNA from 1 species